rnacentral:rRNA from 1 species
UACGUAGGGGGCAAGCGUUGUCCGGAUUUAUUGGGCGUAAAGAGCGUGUAGGCGGCCAGAUAGGUCCGUUGUGAAAACUGGAGGCUUAACCUCCAGCGGUCGAUGGAACCAUUUGGCUAGAGUCCGGAAGAGGAGAGUGGAAUUCCUGGUGUAGCGGUGAAAUGCGCAGAUAUCAGGAAGAACACCCGUGGCGAAGGCGGCUCUCUGGGACGGUACUGACGCUGAGACGCGAAAGCGUGGGGAGCGAACAGG